CCUACGGGUGGCAGCAGUGAGGAAUAUUGGUCAAUGGCCGGAAGGCUGAACCAGCCAUGCCGCGUGAAGGAAGAAGGUGCUAUGCAUUGUAAACUUCUUUUAUACGGGAGUAAUUACAGAUACGUGUAUCUGGAUGAAAGUACCGUAUGAAUAAGGAUCGGCUAACUCCGUGCCAGCAGCCGCGGUAAUACGGAGGAUCCGAGCGUUAUCCGGAUUUAUUGGGUUUAAAGGGUGCGUAGGCGGUCAGUUAAGUUAGAGGUGAAAGCUUGAUGCUCAACAGCGAAACUGCCAUUGAUACUGGCUGACUAGAGUGUAGUUGCGGUAGGCGGAAUGUGUGGUGUAGCGGUGAAAUGCUUAGAUAUCACACAGAACACCGAUUGCGAAGGCAGCUUUCCAAGCUAUUACUGACGCUGAGGCACGAAAGCGUGGGUAGCGAACAGGAUUAGAUACCCUGGUAGUC
rnacentral:rRNA from 1 species